UGAAGAGAAAACAUAUGAAAUACUUUGUGAUAUCAAAUGUGACCAAUCAAUUUCCAAUUACCUAAGUAAAUCUUACGUACAUUUUAAAGUUAACAUUAAAUUCCUGCGUAUAUUUUCAAUCAUAUCAGCAGAAAAAUGAUCGUAACCUUAGAAAGAGGUUCCAGAUAUCACCAAUGACAGAAAACAACCCGUUCGUAUCUCGCGCUCACCACGUCCGCAUCAAGUACAAGAGUAACAUUACCCAAGCCCAGUUUAUAACAGGAGGAGGCAUCAGCAUUAACCUCCCCACAAGCCACCCGAAUAAACAGCGAAAUGUUGUCUUUCGUAGGAAAACGUCACGCACUGCUGGCGACCGUCAGAAGUGAAUGCAUAACAGCCCUCGCAACCGCAUGCACACCAGAAAUGUAAAGAGCUGGCCCGGGUGUGGACGAGGCUCUCUGCGGUCAGCCAUGGACCUCGGAAAUUCUACGUCAGCAGCUGUUCCUCAUUCGGAGUUGGCGUUGGCUGCAGCGCCGCCACGACGCAAUGCGCAGGUUGGAUGAGUGUGAAGUGAGUUGCCAGAGGGCAUAUAUACUUUCGAAAUAAAUAUGGGUAUAGUUUUAAUUUAUCCAUUUUUCAUAUUCUAAUAUUAUAAUUAUGUUAUAUUGAAUGUCAUUAAAGUUCUUAAUUUCGUCAAGGGUGCGUGGAUGUGCUCAAACAACAUUUUAUAUUGGGCGAACUGUAAACUUCACACCCCUUGAGAGACAGACGUGUACCGGGCCGGUGAAAGUCGGCGAACAACCACACUCUAUGCGACUCUGUCCAGAAUUGGGCAGUUAAGAGACAGUGGAGAGCUCAUCUUCACGUCAAAUGUCACAAGGAUGCUGAGGUCCGCAUCUCCAGCCCCGUGUGUGCGUAUGUGCGUAUGGCUUGACAGACGCUAGAGGAGAGAGACAUCCCGACUGCGCGUGCCUGUCCUCUGAUGGUCGGAAGCAACAUGACUGGCGCGUAUAUGAGGAUGUACUCGCUCACGUCGAUUCAGGGUGAUUUUGUGUACUUUGAGCGUGGUUGAGAAACAAUUGGUCUAUUGAAGUCCUCAAAUGGAAAAGUGAAGCGUUUAUGGCGAAGGGAGUAAUCAUUAGGGAUUUGAAGAAUUUUGUCAUUUGGAUUCAUGGCCAGGUGUGGCAUUCGAAAUUCGUCCGUUUCGCGUAUAAAAAGUUCAAUUUCGAGAAAUAUUUUAAUCGGUAUGAACAUCCGGUGCGCGCAAAGGAAGGCAGCGCGAAAUUAAGCACUCAGUCAAAAAGUGCGCGACUUGGAGUAGCCACUUUCCCUAUAUAUUUUCAGGUUAGUGAACCUCUGUGACAGCGCUAUUUGACGACCGUAAGGGCGAUUUUUCCUCCAAAUCUGUGAAACUCAAGCUCUUGUGCGUAAGUGAACCCGUGACCUCAAAACCACAGCCGAUACACAUCACUGACUUUUUCAGGGCGCUUUUUCAACAGUGUGACAUAAGAGCGGGUGUUGUGUGCACGUGGUGUCAGGUGUCCCAUUGGCCCGGCUCGCCAGUGUUGCCAUACCGUUAGUCUUUCCGGUUACUCCCACCAUGAAUCCGUCUGAUGUUAAUCAAGUUUUUUAAUUUUAUCAGACUGCCUUAUCAUAUCAUAAUUGUAAGCCUUCAAACACGCCGGUAUGACCAAAGCUUGCCGUGCACGUUUAUAUAAAACUGGAAAAAUGGGGAAUAAAAGAAGCGAGAGCAUGCUGGAGCGCGCACCAUGCUACCCCUCCUUAUGCCCCUCUAUUUACAAAAUUGCCGUCAGUGUAAAUGGAAAUGUGCUGGAGAUGCAUAAAAUAUGUAAAAGAGGUAGGUAGAAGGGUGUUAAUGAGCGAUGCCUGGGAAAAUGUUUGUUAAUUGUGCCUGCUAAUUAGUAGGGCGCACUAUAAUGAGCCGAUUAAGCGUCUCUUUCAACCCGAGCACAGAGAGAACGGCCCGACGCCGCCACCCUUUAGCGGGAAGAAAAUUCGGGUUUGCUUGCCCUCUUGAGGCUCUCUUUCUUCCCCGCUUCACGUUUUCCGACUGGUGAUCGGAAUAUACAUCGUAUGUUGGCAUGUUAGCUGAUUUUGAUGUGUUCCGGAUUAACAUAUGGAUAAAAUAUGUUGCAAUUCAGUUGUAUUUUUUGUCACUUGCAUGUCUAGAAAAAAGAGCAGCGGCAGUGGAAUAUGUCAUAUUUCACCGUUUCUUUUUCCAAGUGGCUCUGUUGGAGACUUGCGUUUCGCGGUGGCGUAGCCUAACAUUCCCAACAUAUUUUAGAAUAACUUUAUGAAUUCAUGCCUUCCAUAUGUAGGCAGGUAUUGCUUCCUCUCAUUACCGAAAUAUUUUUAAUAGACACAUUCCUAUUUUUAUGCUGUGCUGUAGCUUUCAUACAGCAUAAACCUCUGGGUCAUGGUGAAAAAGGUUUGGUUAUAUUGGUUAUAUUCAGUCUUAACAAUUCUUGAAAUCCCAUGUUAAUAUUCAAGUUAUUAAAUGACAUUAGAAUCUCUUUCUCUAUAUAUCUAUCUAUCUUAUAAAUAUCACGUGUCGAGUAUAUAUUUCUAAAAAUAAAGAUUAUUAAAUCA